rnacentral:rRNA from 1 species
GACUUGACAUCUCCUGAAUUACUCUUAAUCGAGGAAGUCCCUUCGGGGACAGGAAGACAGGUGGUGCAUGGUUGUCGUCAGCUCGUGUCGUGAGAUGUUGGGUUAAGUCCCGCAACGAGCGCAACCCUUAUUGUUAGUUGCUACUAUUAAGUUAAGCACUCUAACGAGACUGCCGCGGUUAACGUGGAGGAAGGUGGGGAUGACGUCAAAUCAUCAUGCCCCUUAUGUCUAGGGCUACACACGUGCUACAAUGGCUGGUACAACGAGCAGCAAACCCGCGAGGGGGAGCAAAACUUGAAAGCCAGUCCCAGUUCGGAUUGUAGGCUGAAACUCGCCUACAUGAAGUUGGAGUUGCUAGUAAUCGCGAAUCAGCAUGUCGCGGUGAAUACGUUCCCGGGUCUUGUACACACCGCCCGUCACACCAUGAGAGCCGGUAACACCCGAAGCCCGUGAGGUAACCGUAAGGAGCCAGCGGUCGAAGGUGGGAUUGGUGAUUGGGGGGAAGUCGUAACAAGGUAGCCGUAGGAGAACCUGCGGCUGGAUCACCUCCUUUCUAGGGA